rnacentral:lncRNA from 1 species
AGAGCUUUUAAAAAAUACUGAUGCCUGGGCUAUACUUCUAAUCAUUAUGACUUAAUUGGUCUGUUCUAAAGAGCAAUCAAGAGUACAGAAACAAGAGUGUAGGUGAGUGGUUCUCAGAGUGUGAUCCCCAGAUCUGUAUCAUCAGCAUCACCCGGGAACUUGUUAGAAAUGCAAAUAACCUGACCUCGGGCUAAGCUGACUGAAUUGAAACUCUGGGAUUGGGUGUGGCAAGCUCAUGAUUCCCUCCAGGUGAUUCUGAUGUCUACUAAAGUUUGAGAAACAGAGUGUAGAUAAUAGGAAUUUGGGUUCUAUAGUCAGGCUUCCUUUUUGAGCAGGCAGCUUAAGCUCACUGCACCUGGUUUUCACAUCUGUAGAGUGGGAAUAACGAUAAUACUUAGAUUAUAAAGUUAGAGUAAUCCAUAUUGGCUAUUCUGUGCUGCUGGAGCUGGAUCAGGGAGUUGACCCUGAGUUAUAGUGGGAGAAGCUGAGGUUCAAAUGCCAGGAGAGCAUGGGUAGGUGCUAAAUCUGGAGGUGUCGAAGAUAGGGAUAGAAGCAAGGUUUAUGAUAAGUGAGACAAGAGUGAGAGAAAGCAGUUUGGGAUCAGCUGGGGAAAGGGAGUGCCCUGAGAACUUGCCCUAGUGGGCCAGUGGGAGUUUGAGUUAUGAGAAGGAGUUAAUUUUAUGUCAUUAGCUGACUCAACACCUUCACCAAUGCAUCCUAGAUGAAGACAGGUGGGGCUAACAGGAUGAAAUUCCAAGGGACCAAAGUCUGGAUAACUUCUUCCCCUGAGGCAGUAGAAGAAUCUGCUGAUGGAGAGACGGCAGAAUUGGAACCACAGGAGAGAACACAGUUGCCAUGAGAUGAGAAGCCCAAGCCACAUGGAAAGGCCACAUGUGGACUUUCUGGUCGAAAAGUAGCCUCAACUGCCAGCCAUGUGACAUUGAUGGUUCAGCCUAAUUGGGUUCCAGAUGACUGCAGCCCCAGCAGCGUCAUAAGAAUGGGAAGACCUGUGCAGCUUGGCCCAGAGUUGUGAGGGGUAUUUAUGACAAUCCACAGAGCAGAGCCCUCACCUUGUGGAGCAUGGUGGUCAACCUCAGUGGCCAGUGGAUGCCAGAUCUCUGUGAUGGGGACAUUGCCUUGAGUGGAUGGGCUCAUCAGGCACUGCAGAAACAAAUGUUAGGGGAUGCUUGGUGCUUCCUACAUGAAUCCUUCGCUUUGUGGUAAUUACGGUUGCUACCUGGAGAAAGAGUAUAGAACACGAGUGUUGGAUUUUUUCCUCCAUGAUUUAAUUCCCUCAAUUUUAUUUGGCAAAUAUGAAGAGACAAUUUUGUUUAUGCCUAUAGUUGGGAGAAUGCAGUGGAACUUUAAGUGUCUUUGGUGGCAAAAUCUUAUAAGGUCACAAAAUGACUAUGUUACUCCAUUCUUGAAAGUUGGUCUCCCAAAGAAACCCUAUUGCUGCAGAUUGAAUUGCGUGCCCCUCCAAAUUCAUGUGUUGGAGCACUAAACCCCAGUACCUCAGAAUCUGACUGAAUUUGGAAGUAGAAUCUUUAAAGAGAUAAUGGUGGUGGGCCCCAAUCCAAUAUGAUGGCUGUCCUUGUUAGAAGAGGGAGACACCAGAGAUAUGCACACAGUGGACAGGCCAUGUGAGGACAUGGUCAGAAAUGGCCAUCUGCAAGCCAAGGAGAGAGGCCUCUGCAAAACCAACCCUACUGACACCUUGAUCUUGGACUUCCAGGCUCUAGAACUACAUUGGUGACAUCAAGAGCACUAAUGAUGCAGUAUUGCCUGGAACAGUGCUCCAUUCUUGCCUUUCAGAUGUUCCUUGAAGCUCCUGCCACACUGCAUGCUUUGAUGUGCUCCUGCGGGCCGGGACAACGCCUUGGUGACUGCCACAUGGCAGAUGGUGACAGAAGGAUACAUCCUCAUUUCAGAGAUGUUACAGUGUGGAAAAAAAUAGACAUUUCAGAAUCAAGGAAAUACAAACAUAUUUUAUAGACAUAUGCACACACACAGACAUUUUUUGAGUGGUGUGGUUUUUUUCUUUUUACCAAGAUGGUAUCAUAUUAUAUACACUUUCCUACAUUUUGUUUUUUUCACUUAUGCUAUGUAGAACUCUCUUCAAGUCACUCGGCAUAGCUCUUUUUCAUUCUUUUAGGUAGCCAUACGCUAUUUUAUGGUGUAGAUGUGUCACAAUGUAUUUAGCCAGUUUCCCAUUUAUGAACAUUCAUUUUGUUUGUAAAGGUUUUGCAACUACAAACAAUGCUGCAGUAAGUAUCCUUACAUGUCCUUAAAUAUUAGUGCUUUUAUCUCCCAUGAAUUACUCAAAGGAUACUGUUUAUUUUAACAUACUUUGUAAGAAUGCUUUCCAUAAAUGCUAGGAAACCUCCUUUUACCACCAGCAGUGUAUGAGAGUGCUCUGUUCCCCAUAACCUGCAUGUUCAUUUCGGGAGAAUUGACAUUUAAUAAUAAUAGGUCUUCUCAUCCAAGAGAGUGGUUAUCUUGUUUGUCUUUAAUAAUGUCUCUAGUUUUCCUCAAAUAGUUCUUGUGCAUUUCUUGUUAAAUGUAUUCCUCAGUAUUUCAUGGUUUUUGUUUCUCUAAAGAUGAAAUAUUUUCCCCAUUUCAUUCCUCAGAGCUUAUUCUGGAAUAAAGCCAUUGAUUUUUAAAAAUAUUUAGCCUGUAUCCAUUCCCUUUCCAAACUGUCUUUUAAUUCUGUUUCAAAUAUUUUGUCAUAUCAUUACCAUUAAGAGAUUUUUAAGUCACUUCUUUCCCAGCCUCUGGAGGCUGUCUGCAAAUUACAUUCCUCCUGGCAGUUUUCUCUUG